UCUAGGAUUAACUUUUAUUAAUUGAUUUGCAUUCAAGUGAUUAGGAUGAUUACAACUAAUUAUCCAGUCAACUCUUAAAAUUUUAAUAACAUCCCUCUCUUUGGGCAUGCUUGGAAAAUCUGUCCCUGAAUCAAUAUUACAAAAUAUCUACAUAAUUUUCACCACAGAACUUCUACAAAUAAUUAUUCAUUCCAUUUUGACUAUUACAGCUUAGCCUAAAGAAUUAAGUAAAUAUGUAUUACUUCACUCCUGCACACCCUUUAAACGCAGCUAACAGACACUGAAUAAACCGGCUCAUCCCCCGCGGGAUCAGGAGUUGCUUGCCCCGUAUGCUGUCGCCAGGCUGCAGCCGCCUGAGGGGACUCGUCCGGGGCCCCGCCCUCAGAGCUCACACCCGCCGUGCGCUCUCGCCCCGGGGCCGCCCCGCCGACCUCCCGCGCGGCUCUGCGCGCACAGGCCGGACGCUCGGAGCCGGCGCCGGGCCGCCCUGCUCGGCCUCCUGGGCGCAGCGGCGCCUCUGGACCGAGCACGCGCACCAGCGGCCUCCGCUCAGGCUCCGUGCCCGCGCACGCGCCCUCGCGUCGCGCUCCUGGCUGAGAGACCUGCGCUCGGGCUGGGCUCCGGGCGGUUCUCGCGUUGUCGUUCCACCGGGACUUCCGCGCUUCGGUGGCCUUUCGGACGAGCCGCCGCGCCCAGAGAUGUUCAGGUUGGAGCGACACUUCCCAGACGGCAGCGGUCACGCCAGCUCUUUGGCUUCCAUUCCGUUUUCGCGCGGUUCUCCCUCUUCGCAAGCUGCUUGGCUGCAAGAGGGAAGUAGGACAUUGAGCCCUAAAGGGAGAUUUCCAGCCAGGGGGCACCGAGCUCUAGAUUCCCUUUGUUCUUUCCCAGUAGAGGAAUCCCAAGGAGGACUGAUCAGUUUUGGCAGGUGCAAAACCAUGGAGUGAAAUCAUAGAGUAUUCCUUUCUCUGUCUUACUUGUUUGGCUCAGGAUCCAUCCAUGUUGUCUCAAAUGGGAUGAGUUUGUCUGUUUUUAUGGCUUGGAGUAUCAUCUUCCAUCCCUUCACUGUGAGCCUGUGUUUGUCAUUGAAGCUGAGAUGUACUUUCUGGAGGCAGCAUAUGUGGGUCUUUAAUCCAUCUCAUCACUCUGUCUUUUUAUUGGAGAGCUCAAUCUAUUUACAUUUAGAGUGAUU
rnacentral:lncRNA from 1 species